rnacentral:sRNA from 1 species
CCACGGGCCGUGCAAAUAGCAAGUCUUCGCAAUGAAUGGACCGGUGACUUUUCUCUUAUCAACUUGGUUUCCAAUUGUUCCUCGCCCAUUGCCAGAGGCGGGGAUGUCGUCGUCUUGAAACAGAUAUAUCGGCUUUUGACAGUGGCAUAGUGUGUGACGGGUCCCUUUCAACUUUAGAAUUGACACCAGCAAUUGCAAACGGGCCUUGGCCUUGACAACGAAGGACAACCAGUCAUGCUUGCAUUAUCAGGCCAUUCUUAGUGAAGGAAGAAUUUGGAGUGUUGCCUCUUUAUAAAUGCAAUCUCACCAUUGCUCCGGCAAAUAUAG